GGAAGUCUUCCAAGCAUAAUUCACGUUUGUGAAAUACUGGGAGUGGCCAAGACAAAGUCUGCAAGAAGUACUAGGUUUUGGCAGGGGCAGCAAAACUGUUCGUCAAGUGGAUCUUUAAGGGGACACUUGAAGAAGAUGGAUUUUUUUUAAAUGACAUGGUAGCAAAGCUAGUCCAUUGGGACAUGGAAGAGGUGAAGUAGUUCUGUGGAAGAGAGGAAAUGUCGCACGAUUCCUGUCCUGUGGACACGAACCAGCUUGUGCUGGGUGGGCUCUCUCAGGGACAAUAGAUGCAUUGGAAGGGGGUGGAGGGAGGGCUAUCGACACAAUCUCACAUUCAAUAUACUUCACAAAAGGAUGCAGUGAAAGAGGGUUGAGUGUAUAUAAUACAGUGCAGCAGAUGAACAAUAGGUUAUAGAUGAGAAGACAAAGGUUUAUUAUCAAAAGUAGUCCAUCAUCUGCGUCUGAGAGUGAAUGCAUCAUGCAAGGUGACACCGAGUGUUGGCAGUGGCAUGAGGGACAUGCAUUCCUGAACUUUGUUCAUUUUAUGUGGACAAGUAUCUGUAUUGCUUAUCUACAGUUACAAAACUGGGUAGCAGAGACAUCAGGGAUUAAACAAUGAGAACACAGUAUUUCGUUUCUACAGAUGAUAUUUUCAGCUCAAAAUCAAUACAUUUCAGUGGGCUGUAGGAUUGAAGAAGGUUAAUCUUCUGUUGCCACAGCCCAUGUUAUGUCUCUCCACUAAACACAUGCUGCACUUGAGUUUGCAGCAUGCACAAAUAUUAGAAUUUUAUUGGAGAAGUACUUGAUUUCCAGUGCUGAUUAAAAAAAACCCAACUUUAUGUGCAUGUUUUACUUGGGCCUAUCCUUGGUUUGCACCAUGAGAGGAACUGAAGCUCCCCACUGUAACCACUUAGAACUCUAAACAGGGAAUGGCAACAAAAAGGAAUUUUGAGGUUUUAUAAGAGACUCACCUGUUAAUCCAUAUUUGGCCACCUUCCAUGCGAUGGAGCAAUGUAGCUGAGUUGUGGGUUGACGUAGGCUUGCAUCACCACCCCGAACCAGAUUGCAUCUGCAGUCCUCUGGAACUGACUGCAUGCCUGAGCUGAUAAAAGAUGCCGUGGAACCGUGGAUCUCUGGGGCCUUGGCAAGAUGCUUUCGCCAUAUCCUGUCUCUCGAUUGCCUCGUCCUCUGCAAGACAAAAGAGUGAGAAUCAGCGUUGUGUGUUGUUACUCAGAGAACAGUUUGGUAACUGCUUUGACAGGCGAUAGAAGAAAACAGUGUGGUGUGGCCACAGCAAGCACAGGCUUUUCCUAACAAUUUAUAAUUGCACUAUGAUCCCAACGAGGAGUGGUGCUCGAACCUCCUUUUGAUUACCUGUGUUCUCUUCUCUCACUGUAACAACGUCGUUUCUUUCCAACUUGCACACAUUCAUGCAAUAAUGCCAAGAUUCACCAUGCAGAUUAAAGUAGGUUUACAAAUUAAGGAAAGGCUGGUGCAGAACAAAAGGAAAAUUAAGUUUUCCCAGCAAUUUUGCACUUACUUUUAAUCAAGUCCUGUCAGUGUCAGGUGUUGUGUUAGAUACACACUCAGUGAGGCCUGUGAGAAUUUUCUAUGUGUAAAGGCUGCAGGACUGAGCCCUAGCAAAUCACACUAUUCUAAAACUGGUGGCCAGUAAGCAAUAGGUGGGCUCUUCUGGGAAAAAAAAUGGGAAGAAAACUUGGUGGGAUCUUGAUCCUUUGCAGUGUCACCUUUCACAGUUGAGUGACUAGCAAAAGAAAGAAAAAAGAUGAGCUAAAUCACCUUGAAGAUGGAUGCCUCCUGCUGCAGAAUAGAACGAAACCCAGUGACGUGCUGCCUCCCAUUAGAUCUGAUACAACUGCUGUAUGAUAAAGGUUAAUUUCUGAAAAUCAACCGUAAACCUAUAGGUCAGCCACUAAGACAGUGACUUGGCAAAUUUUUCAUUGCAAAGUGUAUGAGAGUUUCCUGCCUUCAGUCUGUGACACUGCAGACAGUGGAUUAUUGAAUGAAUCCAGUGAAGUUUUAAUCCCACUAUGAAUUUAUUUUCCAUGAGUAGAUUAUGAACAGAAACCUUUGAUUUCUAUUAAUUAUGUAUCUUUGAGUGAAAAGCUCUUGUGUGUGUAUAUAUACAUUUAAUAACAGGAAAUGUAACGAACACAUAUUUUCAUUAAAUAAAACAGAUAAACCUAUCAAAGCAUGUUUUCAU